GCUGCCUACCCGGGAGGGAACGAGGCCCGGCGCAAAGUUUGGUGGGGAGACGCUAGGAGGGUGCAUUAAAAAAAAAAAAAAAUUCUGAAAAGCCUGCAAAAGGAUCGAAGAGUGGAAACUAUUGUUGGAGCGAGUUGGUUUUUACCUCAACAGCGCCACCUUUCGGCAAAGGUUUCUUCCUUGGAAAACAAUAUACAUCACUUAAUGAAAUCUUUGUUUGUUUUGCACAAGAGAUGUAAAAAAUCCAGAUGUUUUCUUCAGUGAGAAUUCCUGGGAAGGUGUACCAGCCUUCUUCUCUUUCUUCACCUGACAAAGACACCCAACACGGCCUCUCAGACCGGAGGUGUUUAAUAUAUAGUUUUGACACGCAUGAACAUGGGAAUGAAAGGGCUCCUUUUGGUUUUAGACAAUAGACAGAGCUAUAAAAUGAUGAUGGAGCCUGUUUUCCCCACUCUUGUCAUUUUAAGUCAAUAGAUUUCCUGGGUUUCUUCCCCCGCCCCCCCACUUUGCCUUUUCAGGGGAUAGGCAUCUCCUUAGAUUUUUGUUUUUCUUCACUUAGGGUCAGCUUUAUGAUUCGUUCUUCUGCUGUCAUCCUUUUUCAUCCUAUUCACAGCCUGUACCGGUGAGGGAAUUUGUCUCAAAAGCAUUCAGCCCUUCAAAGAUUUUUAUUGUGGUGAACUCAGAACUGAUAAACAGAAAAACAGAAACAGAAAAAGGGAACUGAUAUGGGGGCGAUCUUGAUGCGGGUUGUGUCUCUCAUGCAUGAUAACUCAGAGGACAGGCUCCUCGGUAGUGCGGUAGUGCUAACUCUGUGAAGUUUCUUCACCCUCCUUCCUAGCCCUGGAGGCGGGGUGAUUCAUAGCUCCUGUUCCAAAGGCAUUCAGCAGCCAUUCGACCUGGGAAAGAAACAGAGUUUUAGAAAAUACAGGCCAAAUGUAGAGACGCCUGUGAUUACCAGGAUGAGUAUGUCAGUGCAGGUGGCUUCUGAAUUUCUGUUUCUGAGUUUGUUUGGCUGAUGCCUAAGGAAAGGGGUCCCUUACAGCCCUGUUUUAUACCUUAGUUCUUGGUGGCAACGUGGGUGUUGCUGAUCUCUCUGAUGUGUUUUUCUGUGCACUGAAAACACCAGACAUGCUCCGUGACAUCCUCGGAGCAUCUCCCAUCAUAAUGGAGUGUUCCUAACCUGACAAAGAAUAGCAUAUUACCUCCCCAUCUACUCAAAAUAAAAUUAUAGUAAAAUUUAUCGCCCUUCUGCUAAUAUUUUUUAUUUAGUAACUUUAUAACAGUGAUACAUACUCCUUAUUAAAUAUAAACAUUUGAACAGGAC
rnacentral:lncRNA from 1 species